UACAGAGGUCUCAAGCGUUGUUCGGAUCCAUUGGGCGUAAAGGGUGUGUAGGUGGCGCCGUAAGUCGGGUGUGAAAUUUCGAGGCUUAACCUCGAAACUGCAUUCGAUACUGCGGUGCUUGAGGACUGGAGAGGAGACUGGAGUUCAUGGUGUAGCAGUGAAAUGCGUAGAGAUCAUGAGGAAGACCAGUGGCGAAGGCGGGUCUCUGGACAGUUCCUGACACUGAGACACGAAGGCCAGGGGAGCAAACGGG
rnacentral:rRNA from 1 species